AUUGAACGCUGGCGGAAUGCUUUACACAUGCAAGUCGAACGGCAGCACGGACUUCGGUCUGGUGGCGAGUGGCGAACGGGUGAGUAACAUAUCGGAACGUAUCCAAUAAUGGGGGAUAACUAAUCGAAAGGUUGGCUAAUACCGCAUACGCCCUACGGGGGAAAGCAGGGGAUCUUCGGACCUUGCGUUAAUGGAGCGGCUGAUAUCUGAUUAGCUAGUUGGUGAGGUAAAGGCUCACCAAGGCGACGAUCAGUAGCUGGUCUGAGAGGACGACCAGCCAAACUGGAACGGGGACACGGUCCAGACUCCUACGGGAGGCAGCAGUGGGGAAUUUUGGAAAAUGGGCGCAAGCCUGAUCCAGCCAUUCCGCGUGAGUGAAGAAGGCCUUCGGGUUGUAAAGCUCUUUCGCAAGGGAAGAAAACUUACUUUCUAAUAAAGAGUGAGGUUGACGGUACCUUGAUAAGAAGCACCGGCUAACUACGUGCCAGCCGCCGCGGUAA
rnacentral:rRNA from 1 species